rnacentral:lncRNA from 10 species
UUUCUUGGGGUAAGAGGAAAGCGAAGGGACCUCAGGUCAAGAUUUCUACAGCCCAAGAGAAGCUCAGCUUUAGCUAAUUAGGCACCUCCAGCACACAUGUGAACAGCUAGCGCCAAUAGCUUUGGUCAGCAUUAAUAUGCUGGGUGUAGAUCUUCUCCCUCCAAGACUCCAUACAUUCAGCGUCUUAAGAAGCAGACCCAGAGUUCCAGGGCACAGCCUCAGCAGCCCAAGGCCAGCUCCAAGGUCACUGGCCUUUCCUGAUUUGACCUUCACUUGGGAUCAAGUCUUCCUGAACCAGAAACAAGCUGAAUCCGAGAAGCCCAGGCAGGCUGUGCUGCUAGCAUCCUGUGUAUUUCGGUGAGUCCUCCACAACAAAGUACGCCCUUCAUCCAGCUGAAGUCACAUUUAAAAUUAACAGGUAAAACCAUUCCGAGCUCAGAUGCCAAGCCCACCCAGGAAGGCAUGGUGGUAGAGUGAACCUGGGUUCCAAUCCCAGCUUUGCCUCUUAUCAGCUGUGUAACCUUAAUCAAGUUAUUUAACCUCUCUUGGUUCCCACUGGUGAUUUUCAAAAUUGAAUGUAAUCUCCCUGGCUUUGCAAUGAAAUUGAAUGACACAAUGUCUGCUAGAUGCUUGGCAUGUGGUAGGUGGUCAUGAACAUUGUUUUCUUCUCCCCUUGUCUGGCUUAAAAACAGAAAUGUGCUUCCCUGGGCAGCUCUAUAGGUCAUAAGGUAGCAAGAAAAGUCCUUAUGCUUAAACCUCCCAUGCCAUCUCUCCUGGAGCCUAGUUUACACACACACACACACACACACACACACACACACACCCAGCAAUUUGCUGUAUAAACACAACCACAAGUUCACCAGGAUCCUUAAAUUCCAAACAAAACCUCCAACUGCAAGUCUUUUUAAUCAGGGCCCUCUGAACCACAAGCAGCCCUUGCCUGGGGCCACACUGCCUUUUUCCGGCUCACCCCUCUGUACUGCCCCCACCAGCUGAAAAGUCCGGAAUAACGACUUAAGACAGCUAGGUGAUCAAUACCCAGAUUUUCGGGCUCAGUAGCCUAAUUUGAUAAGACGGUUUGGAAAAUAUUGACAUUACCCAAAUGUCUAGGUGGACCCAGGACAUUCGGGUAAUGCCCCAGUUUCCUCUGAAACCAUCAAGGUUAGAAUCAAUGGG